UUACAACCCGAAGGCCUUCUUCACACACGCGGCAUUGCUGGAUCAGGGUUGCCCCCAUUGUCCAAAAUUCCCCA
rnacentral:rRNA from 1 species